AUGGCAGCCCGAGGCCGUCAGAUCCGUCACCGUCGUCGUUCUUUUGGUCGAGGAAGCCGUCGUCCACGUGCUCCUUUUCACCACCACUGCUGGACGCUGGUGAGGCUAGCCUCCCCCUCCAAGCGCAUAGAUCGGGCUGGGCUUGACUGGGUUUUUGGAGUUCUCUUCUCGUUUCUUAGGAUCCUCAUGCUGUUUGACAAGGGGUUCCUUGCAAUGGGAAAUGUUCUCUUCGUCUCUGGUGUUUCUCUAACGAUUGGACUGAAGUCAACUUUCCAGUUCUUCACAAAGCCUAAGAAUCGCAAGGAUUGUCCAUCUUUCAGUUGGAUUAAGGUUUUCCUAUUGUCUGCAAAUGAAACGUACUUGAUGUACAUCUGGUGUUCUUUUGGCAUCAUACACUCCCCUGUGAAGUGCGUGUUUAAUCAUCAUGCAAUGGGCAUAUGGAUUUGA
rnacentral:rRNA from 1 species